AAUAAACGAAUUUCUGAGCUUUUUGAUAGAAUUUUGACUAUUCAUCUUAUUUGAAGUUUUUUUAUGAUUAAUACUUUUAUUGUUAUUACAAGAUAAAACAUGAAUAGUACUUUACAUAUAACUAAUUUUUUUAAUUUUUUAAUGAUUUUUUCAAAUAAGACGGAUAGUCGAACGCUUCAUACACAAAACUCAGA
rnacentral:pre_miRNA from 1 species